rnacentral:rRNA from 1 species
UACGUAGGGUGCGAGCGUUGUCCGGAAUUAUUGGGCGUAAAGGGCUUGUAGGCGGUUUGUCGCGUCGGGAGUGAAAACACCGGGCUUAACUCGGUGCUUGCUUUCGAUACGGGCAGACUAGAGGCAUGCAGGGGAGAACGGAAUUCCUGGUGUAGCGGUGAAAUGCGCAGAUAUCAGGAGGAACACCGGUGGCGAAGGCGGUUCUCUGGGCAUGUCCUGACGCUGAGGAGCGAAAGUGUGGGGAGCGAACAGG